AUUGAACGCUAGCGGGAUGCCUUACACAUGCAAGUCGAACGGAGUGGCAAACGGGUGAGUAAUGUAUCGGAACGUGCCCAGUAGCGGGGGAUAACUACGAGAAAGCGUAGCUAAUACCGAAUACCCUUGGCGUGGCCGAAACCGGGUUAGGUAGUGGGUGGGGUAACGGCGCACCAAGGCGACGACCUGUAGCUGGUUUGAGAGGACGACCAGCCAAACUGGGACUGAGACACGGCCCAGACUCCUACGGGAGGCAGCAGUGGGGGAAUUUGCACAAUGGGGGAAACCCUGAUCCAGCCAGCCCGCGUGAGCGAAGAAGGCCUUCGGGUUUUAAAGGUCUUUUGGCAGGGAAGCGGUACCUGCAGAAUAAGCACCGGCUAACUACGUGCCAGCAGCCGCGGUAAUAC
rnacentral:rRNA from 1 species